UGACGCUCGAUUAAAAAAAUGUUGAAUAGGACAAAUAAAGUACGAAGUUGAAGACAUGGAGGACCAAACAUUUCUAAAACUUUUGUCAAAUACAGCUACGGUAAUCUAUUCCGGAAGUAGAAAAGCCUUAGUAUUUCAAAAAUUCUAAAUUUUGUUAACAGUUAAUUUAUAAUUGUGAACAUAUCAAUCGAUUCCUAUGGAAUGUUUUCCUGACUUUCUCUACUCUAGCUGAGCAUGUGCAAGAGAAGUAUAAAAAUAUUAAAAAAAUAAAGUGAAAUUGAUACUUCUGGAAUUUAUUCGCGUAGCAACAUUUAAGACCAAUUUUACUCUGAGCAUCUAUAGCAUGUUGUACUUGUUGUUGGCUAUUUAAGAUGGAAUAUAAUAACAUUGACUGGAAGUUUUGUUUUUGUUUUUGUUUUAAUUUUUUUUUAUUUUUACAAUUUACCAGCACGUUUUACCGUGAAUCUAUAGUUGAUAGCGUCCUUGCUAAAACGGGAAAAACAUUGAGAAGAUCUAGUCCCCCGUAUUUACAUGGGCAGUUAUAUUUUGUCACUAGAUGUCCCACUGUAUUCAAUGGUCAUCUACUUUCCAAAGCAACACAAAUGAUUAAGCUCCUUCACUUAUUAAAAACAUGUCCAAUAUCUUUACAAAGAGAUUUUUUGUUUAAAUAAAAUGUAUUUGUAUUAUUCAUAAUAAAAUAUUGUUUACAC
rnacentral:lncRNA from 1 species